GCUAAUAGGAGAGCCAUCCCGGCUAGUUUAACAUAAUAAUGGGAAAAAUUUCUAAACCUCGCCAACCCACAACAGCCCUCCAGCAGUAUUCCAGGACUCUGAUGAAACCUUCACCUUCUGCAAUUUGAAAAUGCCAGCUGGGCAGCCUUUGGAAAGAGCCAAGCAGUUGGGGUCUAUUUUGUGAUGAUGGCAUCAGACUGUGUGCAGCUGAAAUGUGUGACCUGAGCCCCUGGGCAUUCCUGGGAGAUGCUGACUAAGAGACAACAGCCCAGCGAUGGCAGGAAUUUCCCACAUGGUGAAGCUUUUUUACUGCACACCUCGCAUGGAUUCUCAUACCCGGAUCUCUGACAGAUAAGUGCAGGGAUCCAACCCACAGAGGUGAUGGGAGCGGGAUGCUGGGUCUGGAAUUGUCAGGAGGGAUUUUUGAGGCAACUUUGGAACUGGGGAUGUCCAAGAAGCAGCCUGUCAAGCCCCAUAAGGGGAAGACUCUCUAUGAUUUCAGCAUGAACAGCGCAGGCCCUAAGCGACGCCAGCGCACAGGGAUCCCCACAGGCCCAA